rnacentral:rRNA from 1 species
GGUGACGAGCGGCGGACGGGUGAGUAAUGUCUGGGAAACUGCUCUGAUGGAGGGGGAUACCUACUGUGAAACGGUAGCUAAUACCGCAUAACGUCGCAAGACCAAAGUGGGGGACCUUCGGGCCUCAUGCCAUCAGAUGUGCCCAGAUGGGAUUAGCUGGUAGGUGGGGUAACGGCUCACCUAGGCGACGAUCCCUAGCUGGUCUGAGAGGAUGACCAGCCACACUGGAACUGAGACACGGUCCAGACUCCUACGGGAGGCAGCAGUGGGGAAUAUUGCACAAUGGGCGCAAGCCUGAUGCAKCCAUGCCGCGUGUGUGAAGAAGGCCUUCGGGUUGUAAAGCACUUUCAGCGGGGAGGAAGGCGGUGAGGUUAAUAACCUCAUCGAUUGACGUUACCCGCAGAAGAAGCACCGGCUAACUCCGUGCCAGCAGCCGCGGUAAUACGGAGGGUGCAAGCGUUAAUCGGAAUUACUGGGCGUAAAGCGCACGCAGGCGGUCUGUCAAGUCGGAUGUGAAAUCCCCGGGCUCAACCUGGGAACUGCAUUCGAAACUGGCAGGCUAGAGUCUUGUAGAGGGGGGUAGAAUUCCAGGUGUAGCGGUGAAAUGCGUAGAGAUCUGGAGGAAUACCGGUGGCGAAGGCGGCCCCCUGGACAAAGAGCUGACGCUCAGGGCGAAAGCGGGASA